UUUUUUUUUGUGGGGGGGUCAAAUUAAAUUUUUGAAUCAAUUAUUACCAUAUUUUUUUUCCCCUAUUAUUCAUCCUCAACCAAAACAGACGAACAUAAUUAUUAUCAAUAAAUAAGAUUUUGGACGAAGUUGAUGGGUUGAACGAGGUAUUUAAUACAGAAAAAAUUCAAGGACAUGUGCCUUCACUCUUAGUCGAUGAUGAAACAGACAGACGCAUAACUACGCCUAUAACAGGGAAUGAAGAUAAUUGAUAAGAUUUGAAUCAAAAUAUGAAACCAACUAAGAAAAAGAAACAUCUGAUGAAUGUAGAACAUACUAUGACCUCACGUACAAGGUGACUAUCAGUUACAAAAAGAUCUGCUCCAGAUACUAGUCUUUCCCCACAGAAAAGAGAAAACCCCAGGAAAGUACAGGAUAAUUAAUAUUUGUAAGCAUGGAAACAUUCAAAAUACUUUCACUAGACACAAGAGGUGGAAGAGACAGAAAGACCAGAAAUGCUUUAAUUACAAGACUCAUAUACCUUAAUCCUAAUAUCAUUUGUUUACAAUGUGCAAGAAUCUAGGUUUCUUCAACUUCUACCACAAAACCGGUGAAUUUCUUUAAAAUAAAACCUGCAAGAUCGUUUAGCUUAGGGACAGCCUUGCAUAAAAUGCAUGUAAUAAUGUACAUUACCUGUUAACCAUGUGUAUACUAAUCAUGUCUUUUUAGUUUAGAUAUUUAAUUAUAAACAAUAAUGUUUAUUUAUAUAUUUUUUGCGUAUGUAAAUUCCCUAGACCAAUAAAGAGAAAAGAGAUUA
rnacentral:lncRNA from 1 species